AUUCUCCAGGGCCUCUAAGGGUUAAGAUGAAAGACACUCGGCGAUUCGUCCAUUUUCCUAGAGAGGUCGGGACAAAGAUGGCCCUGAGUCUUCCUCGAUGUGUGAUCUGCUUGGCUCACUGGGUCUUAAGGUUUGGAAAUCGGUUGAAAAGAAAGGAGUUGAUGAAGGAAGUCUUGGGACCAUCGGUGCUCGGGAAUCGAAGCUCUGCUCUGCCCCUGCUUCAGUUUGCUGGGAUAGAUGGUGUGAAAAACGGUGUCCAAUCAGCGUGUCUCAGGCCUGCUCUACCACUUUCUGGUUGUGUGACCUUAGGAAAUCCCUGAACACUUUGGACACACCUGUAAAAACAUUCGUAAGAUGGCAUAGAUAAACAACGAAACUGGUUCAUACACCCCAGGCUGAUAAGAGAAUUAGGAGCAGUGAUUUAUUUUAUUCCCUGGUUUGUGCAAGCAGCAGAUCAGCAAGAAUUAACAUUGUAUAAGAAUGCCUUUGUCUAGGCUUCUGUUUCCUCCCAGAUGUCCCUGCUGUUCCUUGUAAACUGAAACAGAUGCUGUGUCCACGUGACACUGACAGGUCACAUGGCCUAAUCCUUUAAGUAGAUUAGGAGUCGUAGGUAGCUCCAGCAGAUAGUUUAGGCUGGCAUGUCUAUUGUACAACCUAGGAGCAAUAAGAUGGAGGGAGGAAUGCCCUCUUUGGAGUCUUUUGUAUUCAGGAAUUAUUGGAUGUAAUUACUCUAGCCCUGCUUUUGACUAUUCUCUUGUUAUGGGUUAUGUAAGUGUUCUUUUUGAAAUUGACUCUAAAGGGUGUUUUUUUUGUGUUUUUGUUUUGUUUUGUUUUUGCCAACAACCAAUGUUAUCUUCUGACCAUAAA